rnacentral:tRNA from 2 species
GGGUUGUUAGCUCAGUGGGAGAGCAACUGCCUUACAAGCAGUAGGCCAGGGGUUCGAAUCCCUUACAACCCACCA